UCAAAGGGUGGCAGCCAUAGUGGCCCAGGCCCCCUCCACCCGAUGGCGGCCACAAGUGGCCGCAACCUUGGUGUUGCCGGCAACAGUAGCUGGCCGACAUAAGAAAGAAGAGAGGAGGAAGAAAAUCAAUCCACACCAGUCUCGGUCAAGAUCACUACCAAUCACCGAGGUCAACAACUGUACAAUCUUAGGGGUCCCAACCAAGUCGAAGCUUGGCCUAAUCCGGCGGCUGAUGGCGGCGAGAUCAUGGAAGAAGAAGACCGAAACAGGGUACCACUAUUUUGGAUGGUUUUCUGUUGAUUUGCCAUCCCAAUUUAAGACAAAACAUUGCUAAUAUAUCAAGAAAGGAGAGAAGAAGAUGAAGAGCACUUACCUUGGUCUAGCGAGGUGGUCUGGCAACCGCACUUGGCGGAAAUCGGUGGAGAAAACUUAGAAGAAAGCAUGAAAUCAACGGCAUUGUCUUGGGUGAUAUGUGAUGAUUUUAACAGAG
rnacentral:lncRNA from 1 species